rnacentral:rRNA from 1 species
UACGUAGGGAGCGAGCGUUGUCCGGAAUCAUUGGGCGUAAAGCGCGUGUAGGCGGUUUCGUAAGUCUGCUGUGAAAGUCGGAGGCUCAACCUUCGAAUGCCAGUGGAUACUGCGAGACUUGAGUACGGAAGAGGAGAGUGGAAUUCCUGGUGUAGCGGUGGAAUGCGCAGAUAUCAGGAGGAACACCAACGGCGAAGGCAGCUCUCUGGGACGUUACUGACGCUGAGACGCGAAAGCGUGGGGAGCAAACAGG